rnacentral:lncRNA from 1 species
GGGGAGAGCAAGCAUGACCUCUCCUGAGUCACAGGAUACCUUAUAAGAAGCAGGCAUCUCUUCUGGGUCACAGUUUGCUAUGGAAACUUUUCCACAAAUGUGAUAUUCAGGGCACUGCUUUGGAAUUCACCAUGAGAGAAUAAAGGACUGAAUGUAGAAUAUGUGGAACCUUUCACCGAGGCUCAGACCACUUCACAAUAACAAUGGCUAUCUCAGGCUCAGUCCACCUGGAGCAUGGGCUGGCAUCAUGUCAAUGGUGGGAAUGCUGAGUAGCUGCCUUGAGGUA